UAGAGCUUUAUCAUGCGGAAAAAAACUUUCCUGGUGAAAUCCAUUUUCUUAAAUUACGCCUCUACAAACAAUUAUUAUCCGAGUGAGACAUAGCCAAACUUGUCGUAGCAUUAGUAUAAUUUUGUCCAUUGAGCAUUCAACAUGACGAAAGUUAUAGCGCUACUAGUUACAGUCGCUCUGGCACUACAAGUUGCAACGGCAUUUUUCUGCGAUGGAAUUCCAGGGGGACUUAAGUUGCGUUUCCCAAUUGCCGGUAUAUGCGAUGAGUACAUUGCCUGCCAUCAUGACACGGAGCACGAGUGGAAAUGUCCCGGAGGCCGUUUCUUCAGCCAGCGCCAGCAGAAGUGUGUCGAUAAUUGUGAUCCUACCGAGCAGCUGAAUUUGUGUGCUGGGUUAAUCAAUGAUUAUUGUUGCGCCCUCCUCUGUCGGAGUUCCCUUUCAGCUGUAGACGGCACUACGAGUGUAUGAGUGGCAUGAUGAUUACCCGAGACUGUCCUGCAGGAUCGUACUUUUCUCAGAAAAAUCAAGGAUGUGGAUCCGUUCGGGAGGAAUUCUGUAUUCCUGAUUAACUGUGUGAAUUCACGGAAUAAAUUACAACUAUUCUUUUAUGUAGGA